UAGGCGGCCUUUUAGCCAUGUCUGUCGAUCGAUUUGAUUUCAAGUUGUCCGGCCCGUUAAAAAUUGUCCCGUUAAAAAUGUUCAAAUCGUUGGCACUAUGGUUAGAUCGACGCGUUGACGUGUGAGUGGCCGUUUGAAUGUGUGUGUCGGCUGGCUCCCUGCUUGCGCAGCGAACAGUCGGCGCAUACAUAUUUCAGUCGAGACGGAGUUGAGCGUUGGGAUUUUGUGUUGAUUCCCAUCUAAUGGUACUUAAUUGACCCGAAUGCGUUACUACGCCGAGCACCCCCGGGGUGCCAGGCGUACCUUGAAGCUGCCCCUUUUGUCUCCAUGCUCUCCCUUUUCGGGAACAGUGGGCAAUUGGCGGGAUUGCUUGUUGGCUCGGAAGCGGAUCAUGAAGCGAGCAUGAUGCUUGUCAUUAUCGCUCAUUAAGAGCUCUCGGUCGCUCGGAAAGAAAGACCGCCGCGCUUGGUUUCGGCUGACGACUCGUCGAUCCAGCUCGAAACCUUGCCGACGUCUUUAAUGAAUGCUACCUGGUUGAUCCUGCCAGUAGUCAUAUGCUUGUCUCAAAGAUUAAGCCAUG
rnacentral:misc_RNA from 1 species